UGCAGUCGAGCGAACAGAUAAGGAGCUUGCUCCUUUGACGUUAGCGGCGGACGGGUGAGUAACACGUGGGUAACCUACCUAUAAGACUGGAAUAACUCCGGGAAACCGGGGCUAAUGCCGGAUAACAUUUAGAACCGCAUGGUUCUAAAGUGAAAGAUGGUUUUGCUAUCACUUAUAGAUGGACCCGCGCCGUAUUAGCUAGUUGGUAAGGUAACGGCUUACCAAGGCAACGAUACGUAGCCGACCUGAGAGGGUGAUCGGCCACACUGGAACUGAGACACGGUCCAGACUCCUACGGGAGGCAGCAGUAGGGAAUCUUCCGCAAUGGGCGAAAGCCUGACGGAGCAACGCCGCGUGAGUGAUGAAGGUCUUCGGAUCGUAAAACUCUGUUAUUAGGGAAGAACAAAUGUGUAAGUAACUGUGCACGUCUUGACGGUACCUAAUCAGAAAGCCACGGCUAACUACGUGCCAGCAGCCGCGGUAAUACGUAGGUGGCAAGCGUUAUCCGGAAUUAUUGGGCGUAAAGCGCGCGUAGGCGGUUUCUUAAGUCUGAUGUGAAAGCCCACGGCUCAACCGUGGAGGGUCAUUGGAAACUGGGAAACUUGAGUGCAGAAGAGGAAAGUGGAAUUCCAUGUGUAGCGGUGAAAUGCGCAGAGAUAUGGAGGAACACCAGUGGCGAAGGCGACUUUCUGGUCUGUAACUGACGCUGAUGUGCGAAAGCGUGGGGAUCAAACAGGAUUAGAUA
rnacentral:rRNA from 1 species